GAUGAACGCUGGCGGCGUGCCUAAUACAUGCAAGUCGAGCGAACGGACGAGAAGCUUGCUUCUCUGAUGUUAGCGGCGGACGGGUGAGUAACACGUGGAUAACCUACCUAUAAGACUGGGAUAACUUCGGGAAACCGGAGCUAAUACCGGAUAAUAUUUUGAACCGCAUGGUUCAAAAGUGAAAGACGGUCUUGCUGUCACUUAUAGAUGGAUCCGCGCUGCAUUAGCUAGUUGGUAGGGUAACGGCUUACCAAGGCAACGAUGCAUAGCCGACCUGAGAGGGUGAUCGGCCACACUGGAACUGAGACACGGUCCAGACUCCUACGGGAGGCAGCAGUAGGGAAUCUUCCGCAAUGGGCGAAAGCCUGACGGAGCAACGCCGCGUGAGUGAUGAAGGCCUUCGGAUCGUAAAACUCUGUUAUUAGGGAAGAACAUAUGUGUAAGUAACUGUGCACAUCUUGACGGUACCUAAUCAGAAAGCCACGGCUAACUACGUGCCAGCAGCCGCGGUAAUACGUAGGUGGCAAGCGUUAUCCGGAAUUAUUGGGCGUAAAGCGCGCGUAGGCGGUUUUUUAAGUCUGAUGUGAAAGCCCACGGCUCAACCGUGGAGGGUCAUUGGAAACUGGAAAACUUGAGUGCAGAAGAGGAAAGUGGAAUUCCAUGUGUAGCGGUGAAAUGCGCAGAGAUAUGGAGGAACACCAGUGGCGAAGGCGACUUUCUGGUCUGUAACUGACGCUGAUGUGCGAAAGCGUGGGGACCAAACAGGAUUAGAUACCCUGGUAGUCCACGCUGUAAACGAUGAGUGCUAAGUGUUAGGGGGUUUCCGCCCCUUAGUGCUGCAGCUAACGCAUUAAGCACUCCGCCUGGGGAGUACGACCGCAAGGUUGAAACUCAAAGGAAUUGACGGGGACCCGCACAAGCGGUGGAGCAUGUGGUUUAAUUCGAAGCAACGCGAAGAACCUUACCAAAUCUUGACAUCCUUUGACAACUCUAGAGAUAGAGCUUUCCCCUUCGGGGGACAAAGUGACAGGUGGUGCAUGGUUGUCGUCAGCUCGUGUCGUGAGAUGUUGGGUUAAGUCCCGCAACGAGCGCAACCCUUAAGCUUAGUUGCCAUCAUUAAGUUGGGCACUCUAAGUUGACUGCCGGUGACAAACCGGAGGAAGGUGGGGAUGACGUCAAAUCAUCAUGCCCCUUAUGAUUUGGGCUACACACGUGCUACAAUGGACAAUACAAAGGGCAGCGAAACCGCGAGGUCAAGCAAAUCCCAUAAAGUUGUUCUCAGUUCGGAUUGUAGUCUGCAACUCGACUACAUGAAGCUGGAAUCGCUAGUAAUCGUAGAUCAGCAUGCUACGGUGAAUACGUUCCCGGGUCU
rnacentral:rRNA from 1 species